AAUAUUGCACAAUGGGCGGAAGCCUGAUGCAGCGACGCCGCGUGGGGGAUGACGGCCUUCGGUGUGUAAACCUCUUUCGACAGGGGCGAAGUGAAAAUGACGGUUCCUGUAUAAUAAGCACCGGCAGACUACGUGCCAGCAGCCGCGGUAAUACGUACGGGGCGAGCGUUGUCCGUAAUUACGGGGCGUGAAGAGCUCGUAGGUGGUUUGUCACGUCGUCUGUGAAAUUCCGGGGCUUAACCUCGGGCGUGCAGGCGAUACGGGCAAUACUUGAGUGCUGUAGGGGAGACUGGAAUUCCUGGUGUAGCGGUGAAAUGCGCAGAUAUCAGGAGGCACACCAAUGGCGAAGGCAGGUCUCUGGGCAGUUACUGACGCUGAGGAGCGAAAGCAUGGGUAGCGAACAGG
rnacentral:rRNA from 1 species